rnacentral:rRNA from 1 species
GACGAACGCUGGCGGCGCGCUUAACACAUGCAAGUCGAACGGAAAGGCCUGCUUUCCCUUGUGGAUUGCGGGUACUCGAGUGGCGAACGGGUGAGUAACACGUGAAUGAUCUGCCCCCAACUUGGGUAUAAGCCUGGGAAACUGGGUCUAAUUCCCGAUAGGACUGCAGGGUGGUGCCUGUGGUGGAAAACGAUUUUCUAGUGGUUGGGGAUGAGCUCGCGGCCUAUCAGCUUGUUGGUGGGGUAAUGGCCUACCAAGGCGGCGACGGGUAGCCGGCCUGAGAGGGUGGACGGCCACAUUGGGACUGAGAUACGGCCCAGACUCCUACGGGAGGCAGCAGUGGGGAAUAUUGCACAAUGGGCGGAAGCCUGAUGCAGCGACGCCGCGUGGGGGAUGACGGCCUUCGGGUUGUAAACUCCUUUCGACCGCGAGGAAGCCACCUGGUUGGAAGGGUGGUGACGGUAGUGGGAGAAGAAGCACCGGCUAACUACGUG